CAGCCACUCAACACUAUCACAAGGCCGCACAAGCUAGUAGACAAUCUCCUCAGAAGUAUUAGCGGAGCCUCCCAGCUAGCAAUAUGGCGAAGUGCCUCGCCGUCGCGCUCCUCCUACUGGUGGUGCUCGCGUCCUGCGACGGGAGGGAGCUGAACCAGAAGGACCAGGCACUGGCCGGUGCCGGUGGUGGCGUCGGCGAGUCGAAGGUGUUGGGGUUGCCUGACCUGCCGCCUGUGGGAACCGUUACCGGUACCAGCACCACUAACGGCCCGCUGGUGGCGCUUCCUGCCCUUCCCGGGAUCCCUGCUCACCCAUGAUCACCUCUAGUUCAUGUGCUGGCUUACAAGAUGAAGCUCACCUCGUGACUUUACACUUCUAGGCUCUAGCUUAACAUCGCCCGGAAGGCAAACACCGGCGUUUCGCUGAUGUCCAUGUUCCUUCCUUAAUGGGCGUCUGUAUCAUCCAUCCUCGUCUGUAUUUCUUUUCAGUCCAUGUUCUAGUAUUUUUCGUUCCUUGAUGUGCUACAUGUAUGAUGUAUCAUCAACGUAAUAAAUACUUCUUUCUUCAAUGUGUUCGCCUUUUGCAUCAUCUACGUAC
rnacentral:rRNA from 1 species